ensembl:snoRNA
UUACCUGUUUCUGAGAGAAUCAAAAGGAUUCAGGCUAACACAGAAGGGUAAAGUAAGUCUCUUUAAAACUCAGAAAAGAUUGUAAAACUCCUCUUGAAUCCUAUCUGGAGUCACAGCU